rnacentral:rRNA from 1 species
UACGGGGGGAGCAAGCGUUGUUCGGAUUUACUGGGCGUAAAGGGCGCGUAGGCGGCCAGCACAAGUCAGUUGUGAAAUCUCCGGGCUUAACUCGGAAAGGUCAACUGAUACUGUGCGACUAGAGUGCGGAAGGGGCAACUGGAAUUCUCGGUGUAGCGGUGAAAUGCGUAGAUAUCGAGAGGAACACCUGCGGCGAAGGCGGGUUGCUGGGCUGACACUGACGCUGAGGCGCGAAAGCUAGGGGAGCGAACGGG